rnacentral:rRNA from 1 species
ACGGAGGGGGCAAGCGUUAUCCGGAAUUAUUGGGCGUAAAGAGUGCGUAGGUGGUUUUUUAAGCGAGAGGUGAAAGGCAAUAGCUUAACUAUUGUAAGCCUUGCGAACUGGAAGACUUGAGUGCAGGUGAGGAAAGUGGAAUUCCUAGUGUAGCGGUGAAAUGCGUAGAUAUUACAAGGAACACCAAUUGCGAAGGCGACUUUCUGGACUAUAACUGACACUGAGGCACGAAAGCGUGGGGAGCAAACAG